CAAGUACUCCCUCCGUCCGAAAAUACUUGUCAUCAAAAUGGAUAAAAAAGAUGUAUCUAGAACUAAUAUACAUCAAGAUACAUCCCGUUUUAUUCAUUUUGAUGACAAGUAUUUCCGGACGGAGGGAGUACUAC
rfam:Triticum aestivum genome assembly, contig: Triticum_aestivum_CS42_TGACv1_scaffold_642683_T_1BL-0.074830_3DS-0.051845